CGUAAAGAACUUGCCUCACAGCUAGGGACAACAUUUAGAAAUGAAUGCUAAUACCUGAUAUUAUGAUUUUAAGGCAUCUUAGAAUUGUGAAAGCUAUAAGCACUGUGAGAGAGCUUUGCGUCCCAUUAGCUAGUUGGAGAGGUAACAGCUCACCAAGGCGAUGAUGGGUAGCUGGCCUGAGAGGGUGAACGGCCACAAGGGGACUGAGACACGGCCCUU
rnacentral:rRNA from 1 species